UCUGUGGGUGCCCCCCCCAAAAAUAAAUUCAAAGAGAUUUGGGGGGGGUGAGAGUGGGGGAGGGGGAGUGAAGGUGAGGCCCCCCAAAUUGGGGGGGGGGGCGUUAAACAGGGAAAAGAGAGGUGACCCCCCCCAAAAAAUGAGGUAUGGGGGGGGUCGGUUUGUAGGUGAAGGGGGUGAACCCCCCCCAAAAAAAAUUGAAUGGGGGGGCAAUAAUCAGGUAAAGGGGGUGAGACCCCCCCCCAAAAAUCAAGGUAGGGGGGCAAAGUACAGGUAAAGGGGGUAAGACCCCCCCAAAAUCAAGGUUGGGGGGGGCAAUGUACAGGUAAAGGGGGUGAGACCCCCCCCAAAAAAAGGGGGGGGGUAAUGUACAGGUAAAGGUGGUGAGACCCCCCCCCCCAAAAAUGAGGUGGGGGGGGCAAUGUACAGGUAAAAGUGGUGACCCCCCCAAAAAAUGAGGGUGGGGGGGGUCAAACAGGUAAAGACCCCCCAAAAAUGAGGUGGGGGGUUAAUAAACAGGUAAAGACCCCCCAGAAAUAAGGGGGCGGGGUCAAUGAGCAGGUAAAGACCCUCCCAAAAAUGAGGUGGGGGGGGUCAAACAGGUAAAGACCCUCCCAAAAAUGGGGGGGGGUUCAAACAGGUAAAGACCCUCCCCAAUAAAAUCAGGUGUGGGGGUCAAACAGGUAAAGACCCCUCCCCAAAAAUGAGGUGGGGGGGGGUCAAACAGGUAAAGACCCCCCCCUAAAAAUGAGGGGGGGGUCAAACAGGUAAAGACCCCCCCUCAAUAAAAUGAGGUGUGGGGGGGGGUCAAACAGGUAAAGACCCCCCCCAAAAAUGAGGGGGGGGUCAAACAGGUAAAGACCCUCCCAAAAAUGAGGUGGGGGGGGGGUCAAACAGGUAAAGACCCCUCCCCAAUAAAAUCAGAUGGUGGGGUCAAACAGGUAAAGACCCCUCCCCAAUAAAAUGAGGUGGGGGGGGGUCAAACAGGUAAAGACCCCUCCCCAAUAAAAUGAGGUGUGGGGGGGGUCAAACAGGUAAAGACCCCUCCCCAAUAAAAUGAGGUGUGGGGGGGGUCAAACAGGUAAAGACCCCUCCCCAAUAAAAUGAGGUGGGGGGGUUAAUUUAUGGGUUGGGGGGGGGUCAAUCUGCAGGUGAAGGUGCUGACCCCCCCCCAAAAAAACCCCAAAUUUGGGGGGGGGGUCCAUAAACAGCUGAAGGGGUUUUCCCCCCUCCCCAAAAUUUUUUCGGUGGGGGGGGAGCUCAAUUUUUAUUUUGGGGGGGGGUCUCCUUAACCCACUUUCCUUCCCCACCGUGUCACUUUUUUUGGGGGGGGGUCUCACCCCCUUAACCCCCCCCCCACCCCACUGAGAUUUUAUGAGAUUUUUUGGGGCACUUUUGGGGUUUUUUUCCAGGGGGUGGGCGUUGAUUUUUUUUAAGGGGAGGGGGGGCGGGCUGACCUGGCCCC